rnacentral:rRNA from 1 species
GUAGGUGGCAAGCGUUGUCCGGAAUUAUUGGGCGUAAAGCGCGCGCAGGCGGUUCUUUAAGUCUGAUGUGAAAGCCCACGGCUCAACCGUGGAGGGUCAUUGGAAACUGGGAGAACUUGAGUACAGAAGAGGAAAGCGGAAUUCCACGUGUAGCGGUGAAAUGCGUAGAGAUGUGGAGGAACACCAGUGGCGAAGGCGGCUUUUCUGGUCUGUAACUGACGCUGAGGCGCGAAAGCGUGGGGAGCAAACAGGGAUUAGAUACCCUGGUAGUCCACGCCGUAAACGAUGAGUGCUAAGUGUUAGGGGGUUUCGCCCCCUUAGUGCUGCAGCUAACGCAUUAAGCACUCCGCCUGGGGAGUACGGCCGCAAGGCUG